rnacentral:rRNA from 1 species
AUGGCACAUAACAGAGCCCCCGGCCCGAAUGACAUCACUGUUGAAUUCUAUCAGGUGUGCUGGGACAUAGUUAAAUGUGAUAUUAUGAGCCUUUUUGAGCAUUUUCAUAAAGGGACUUUAGAUGUACAGCGCCUCAACCAUGGAGUGAUCACACUUUCGCCUAAAACUGCUGGUGUGGAUACAAUCCAGCAAUUUAGGCCUAUCUGCCUCCUGAGAUGCCCGUACAAACUAAUCACUAAGACCUUAGAUCGGCGAGUUGAGAGGUAAACUGACAAGUUAAUUAGCUCGACCCAGAAUGCAUUUGUGAAAGGGAGAAGCAUUAUGGACGGUGUGCUUUCGCUGCAUGAGAUUUUGUCCUGA